rnacentral:rRNA from 1 species
CGUAACAAGGUUUCCGUAGGUGAACCUGCGGAAGGAUCAUUAAUGAGGGCGUGUGGGCUAAUAUCCCCGCGAACCCUAAUCCUUUGUUUACUACCCCAUUGUGGUUUUAAUUUGGGCCCGGUAUGGCUUUCCCAUCUACUUUUCUAUUAGAAAAGUAAGAAAGUUUUGUGAUGUCGCCUAAAUUGGCUGUCACAGCGCCCCCCAAAAAAACAAAACCAGACCAAAAAAAUCUAAUAAUAUAUUGAUGUCUGAAGUAAAUUAUUUAAACAAGCAAAACUUUCAACAACGGAUCUCUUGGUUCCGGCAUCGAUGAAGAACGCAGCGAAAUGCGAUAAGUAAUGUGGACCGCAGUACUCAGCGACUCAUCGAAUCUUUGAACGCAUAUUGCGCCCCUUGGUAUCACCAAAGGGCACACCUGUCCGAGCGUCAUUAUACAUCAUAUCAGGCCAAGGGCCCGGCUUGCAUUGGGCUUGUCUACUUUAUGUAGAGGUCUAAAAGUUAUUGGCGGUUAAGUUAGGCAUUCCGGCUUAGUAAUUUAUAUUAGCUGUUGAAAUGUCUUUUAAUAGUCAACACGUCCAGGGUUUCUGCUGGCAGAGACCUGGUUGAAUUUUAUCAAUUAUUGACCUCGGAUCAGGUGAGGAUACCCGCUGAAUUUAAGCAUAUUAAUAAGCGGAGGAAAAGAAACCAACAGGGAUUGCCUUAGUAGCGGCGAGUGAAGCGGCAACAGCUCACAUUUGAAAUCCGGCUCAUAAUUAAGAGUCUGAGUUGUAAUCUGCAGAGGGAGUUUCGGGUGAAGUCUGGUUUAAGUUCCUUGGAACAGGACGUCAUAGAGGGUGAGAACCCCGUCAGUGACCAAUCACUAACCCGUGUGAAACCCCUUCGACGAGUCGAGUUGUUUGGGAAUGCAGCUCUAAAUGGGUGGUAAAUUUCAUCUAAAGCUAAAUAUUGGCCGGAGACCGAUAGCGCACAAGUAGAGUGAUCGAAAGAUGAAAAGCACUUUGGAAAGAGAGUUAAAUAGUACGUGAAAUUGUUGAAAGGGAAGCGCUUGCGGCCAGACCUGUGCAUAGGUGAUCAGUUGGUAUUUUUACCAAUGCACUCACCUAAAGCCAGGCCAGCAUCGGUUUCGGCGGCGGGACAAAAGCGUGGAGAAUGUAACUCUCUCUUGGGUGAGUACUUAUAGCUCGUCAUGAAAUGCCGCCAGCCGAGACCGAGGACCGCGCUUCGGCUAGGAUGCUGGCGUAAUGGUUGCAAGCGACC